ensembl:snRNA U6 U6 spliceosomal RNA
GUGUUUGUUUCAGCAGCACAUACAGUAAAAUUAGAAUGAUACAGAGAAGAAGAGCAUGGCUCCUGAACAAGGAUGACACACAAAUUUGUGAAAGUUUCAUCUUUUUA